AAUGAACGCUGGCGGCAUGCCUAACACAUGCAAGUCGAACGAGACCUUCGGGUCUAGUGGCGCACGGGUGCGUAACGCGUGGGAACCUGCCCUUAGGUUCGGAAUAACUCCCCGAAAGGGGUGCUAAUACCGGAUAAUGUCUUCGGACCAAAGAUUUAUCGCCUUUGGAUGGGCCCGCGUUGGAUUAGCUAGUUGGUAGGGUAAAAGCCUACCAAGGCGACGAUCCAUAGCUGGUCUGAGAGGAUGAUCAGCCACACUGGGACUGAGACACGGCCCAGACUCCUACGGGAGGCAGCAGUGGAGAAUAUUGGACAAUGGGCGAAAGCCUGAUCCAGCAAUGCCGCGUGAGUGAUGAAGGCCUUAGGGUUGUAAAGCUCUUUUACCCGGGAUGAUAAUGACAGUACCGGGAGAAUAAGCUCCGGCUAACUCCGUG
rnacentral:rRNA from 1 species